rnacentral:rRNA from 1 species
AGGCGGAUGAGUAAGUUGGGCGUGAAAGCUCCGGGCCUAACCCGGAGAGGUCGUUCAAUACUGCUGAUCUAGAGGGUGUCAGAGGGGGAUGGAAUUUCCGGAGUAGCGGUAAAAUGCGCAGAUAUCGGACAGAACACCAAUGGCGAAGGCAGUUCCCUGGGGCACACCUGACGCUAAGAGACGAAAGCUAGGGGAGCGAACAGGAUUAGAGACCCUGGUAGUCCUAGCCCUAAACGAUGGAUGCUAGAUGUGGGGCCAUAGAGCUCCGUGUCGAAGUAAACGCGAUAAGCAUCCCGCCUGGGGAGUACGGACGCAAGGUUAAAACUCAUACGAAUUGACGGGACCCCGCACAAGCAGCGGAGCGUGUGGUUUAAUUCGAUGCUACACGAAUAACCUUACGUGGGUGUGACAUGUAGGUGGUAGUGCCGUGGAAAGCGAAGCGACCCUUCGGGGAGCCUACACAGGUGCUGCAUGGCUGUCGUCAGCUCGUGCCGUGAGGUGUCGGGUUAAGUCCCGUAACGAGCGCAACCCUUGCCCUCCGUUAUACGUGUCAGAGGGGACUGCCGGCGGUAAGCCGGAGGAAGGUGGGGAUGACGUCAAGUCAGCAUGGCCUUUAUAUCCAGGGCUACACACACGCUACAAUGGCCAGUACAAAGGGCAGCGAAGCCGCGAGGUGAAGCGAAUCCCAACAAAGCUGGUCAAAGUUCGAAUUGCAGGCUGCAACCCGCCUGCAUGAAGCUGGAGUUGC